rnacentral:rRNA from 1 species
UGGGACAAGCCCUGGAAACGGGGUCUAAUACCGGAUACGAGUCUCCAUGGCAUCUUGGAGACUGGAAAGCUCCGGCGGUGCAGGAUGAGCCCGCGGCCUAUCAGCUUGUUGGUGAGGUAACGGCUCACCAAGGCGACGACGGGUAGCCGGCCUGAGAGGGCGACCGGCCACACUGGGACUGAGACACGGCCCAGACUCCUACGGGAGGCAGCAGUGGGGAAUAUUGCACAAUGGGCGAAAGCCUGAUGCAGCGACGCCGCGUGAGGGAUGACGGCCUUCGGGUUGUAAACCUCUUUCAGCAGGGAAGAAGCGAAAGUGACGGUACCUGCAGAAGAAGCGCCGGCUAACUACGUGCCAGCAGCCGCGGUAAUACGUAGGGCGCAAGCGUUGUCCGGAAUUAUUGGGCGUAAAGAGCUCGUAGGCGGCUUGUCACGUCGGUUGUGAAAGCCCGGGGCUUAACCCCGGGUCUGCAGUCGAUACGGGCAGGCUAGAGUUCGGUAGGGGAGAUCGGAAUUCCUGGUGUAGCGGUGAAAUGCGCAGAUAUCAGGAGGAACACCGGUGGCGAAGGCGGAUCUCUGGGCCGAUACUGACGCUGAGGAGCGAAAGCGUGGGGAGCGAACAGGAUUAGAUACCCUGGUAGUCCACGCCGUAAACGGUGGGCACUAGGUGUGGGCAACAUUCCACGUUGUCCGUGCCGCAGCUAACGCAUUAAGUGCCCCGCCUG